GCCCGGGUGGUCUAGUGGUAUGAUUCUCGCUUAGGGUUUACCCCAAGCAUAUUUGCGAGAGGUCCCGCGUUCGAUCCGCGGCUCGGGCC
rnacentral:tRNA from 1 species